UAAGCCAUGCGAGUCAUGGGCGCGCUCUGCGCGCACCGGCGGACGGCUCAGUAACACGUCGGGUAACCUACCCUCGGGAGGGGGAUAACCCCGGGAAACUGGGGCUAAUCCCCCAUAGGCCUGAGGUACUGGAAGGUCCUCAGGCCGAAAGGGGCUCUGCCCGCCCGAGGAUGGGCCGGCGGCCGAUUAGGUAGUUGGUGGGGUAACGGCCCACCAAGCCGAAGAUCGGUACGGGCCAUGAGAGUGGGAGCCCGGAGAUGGACACUGAGACACGGGUCCAGGCCCUACGGGGCGCAGCAGGCGCGAAACCUCCGCAAUGCGGGCAACCGCGACGGGGGGACCCCCAGUGCCGUGGCAUAGCCACGGCUUUUCCGGAGUGUAAAAAGCUCCGGGAAUAAGGGCUGGGCAAGGCCGGUGGCAGCCGCCGCGGUAAUACCGGCGGCCCGAGUGGUGGCCGCUAUUAUUGGGCCUAAAGCGUCCGUAGCCGGGCCCGUAAGUCCCUGGCGAAAUCCCACGGCUCAACCGUGGGGCUUGCUGGGGAUACUGCGGGCCUUGGGACCGGGAGAGGCCGGGGGUACCCCUGGGGUAGGGGUGAAAUCCUAUAAUCCCAGGGGGACCGCCAGUGGCGAAGGCGCCCGGCUGGAACGGGUCCGACGGUGAGGGACGAAGGCCAGGGGAGCGAACCGGAUUAGAUACCCGGGUAGUCCUGGCUGUAAAGGAUGCGGGCUAGGUGUCGGGCGAGCUUCGAGCUCGCCCGGUGCCGGAGGGAAGCCGUUAAGCCCGCCGCCUGGGGAGUACGGCCGCAAGGCUGAAACUUAAAGGAAUUGGCGGGGGAGCACUACAAGGGGUGGAGCGUGCGGUUUAAUUGGAUUCAACGCCGGGAACCUCACCGGGGGCGACGGCAGGAUGAAGGCCAGGCUGAAGGUCUUGCCGGACACGCCGAGAGGAGGUGCAUGGCCGCCGUCAGCUCGUACCGUGAGGCGUCCACUUAAGUGUGGUAACGAGCGAGA
rnacentral:rRNA from 1 species